AACUGUGCUUAGUAAUUGCUGCAGAACUGUGAGGCAGAGUUUGGUAUGAUACCAUGGAAGGGCAGCAUAACCAUCCACAUCAUCUAGGGGACCAGAACAACCCUCUUUGCAAGCUGCCGGGGCAGGAAUAUCAGCAUGAUCCUCAGAGACAUUUAACGUCGUACCCAUAUCGCUGCACAUUGGCAGAUUUUCAGAUAGAGAAAAAGAUUGGACGAGGACAAUUCAGCGAAGUUUACAAAGCAACUUGUCUUCUGGACAGAAAACCUGUGGCAUUAAAGAAAGUUCAGAUUUUUGAAAUGAUGGAUGCCAAGGCUAGGCAAGAUUGCAUUAAAGAAAUUGACCUCUUGAAGCAACUGAACCACCCCAAUAUAAUUAAGUAUUUGGAUUCUUUUAUUGAAGACAAUGAACUUAACAUUGUCCUGGAACUGGCCGAUGCUGGUGAUCUCUCUCAGAUGAUUAAGUAUUUUAAAAAGCAGAAACGGUUAAUCCCGGAAAGGACGGUGUGGAAAUAUUUUGUGCAGUUAUGCAGUGCAGUUGAACACAUGCACUCCCGCAGGGUGAUGCACAGAGACAUAAAACCAGCCAACGUGUUUAUAACAGCCACAGGGGUGGUGAAGCUGGGAGAUCUUGGAUUAGGCCGGUUUUUUAGUUCUAAAACCACUGCAGCACAUUCCUUAGUGGGAACUCCAUACUAUAUGUCCCCAGAAAGAAUACACGAGAACGGCUAUAACUUUAAAUCUGAUAUCUGGUCUUUGGGCUGUUUAUUGUAUGAGAUGGCAGCUCUUCAGAGUCCUUUCUAUGGAGACAAAAUGAACCUGUUUUCUCUUUGCCAAAAAAUAGAGCAAUGUGACUACCCACCUCUUCCAGCUGAACAUUAUUCUGAAAAGCUGCGGGAGCUGGUCAGCAUGUGCAUAUACCCAGAUCCAGAUCAAAGACCUGACAUUAGUUACGUGCACCAAAUAGCAAAACAAAUGCAUGUUUGGACCUCCAGCACAUGAACCAUCUGCAAACACUCUCAAGAAGCCAGCACAGCUUAGUCUUACUUGAAUUUUUUUUCUCAGAUGAAACCGACUGGUGCCUAGUCACACAAGUGAGAAGGUUGAGCACUCGUAGCAAGAUGCUCCAUUAUUUCUGCAGGUUAUUUGACAAGGACUCUUACAAGGUGGUCAUGCUUUAAAGUGAAGAUUGUGAGGUAUUGCAAGUGAUUUUUUUCUUUUUUUUUUUUUAAGGCCAAUAACAUGUUACAGAUGUAGAUCAUUUAAGGGUCCUUUCUUAAAACUGUUGUGUGUAAUCUAGGAUAGAUGAUAUUAACGAGGGUGUCUGAACAUUUGCCCCCCCCCCUCUAUCUUAACUGUAAUGUGAAAUAUUGAAAUAAUUCCUUCAGUGAAAUCACUUUAUACUAAUGUAAGAAUUACAGUAGAUUUUGUGUAAUUUGUAUAACUGCUACUUUGCCUCUUCUGCAAAUGGUUAAUAGCAAAUUCAGUUUUUACUUC